UCCACGUGAGCUCUGCGGGCCAAUCAGCGGGGCCGCCGCUCGGCGCCGGCCUGUAUAAAUGCAGAGCGGACGCUCCUCCCGGUCCCUUCCUCUUCUCGUCCUCCUCGAAGCGACGGACGUCCACGCCUCACCGCGAUUUGAACCGGCCAUGGCGCCAUUCGCCAUCUACAGCCAUGGAAGUCUGCGGACAAAGCCGAAGGUAUUGGCUGUUGCCCGUGGGAAGUCAAAGUGCAGGAAACGCAUUGCUUGCGGGUGACUAUGGCUGACAAAGAAGUGGAUGAGGAAGCCUCAUGUCGAGGCAUACGUCUGAUGAUCUAAAGUCUACCGUCGGGCUGUGGGCUGUCAAACCUUUCAUGGUUUAAGGUACACUGACCUGGGAAGCCUUGACCUGUCUGGGUGGGCUGCUGCAGGCCGCCCACAAAGGGCAACAGUCAACUGUGAAGCUUCACAAUGUUCUGAGUUAACAAAAUGGUCAUGAACUGUAAAUUACGAUGCAAUAAACAACUUGUAUACUA